UACGUAGGGUGCAAGCGUUGUCCGGAAUUAUUGGGCGUAAAGAGCUCGUAGGCGGUUUGUCGCGUCUGCCGUGAAAGUCCGGGGCUCAACUCCGGAUCUGCGGUGGGUACGGGCAGACUAGAGUGAUGUAGGGGAGACUGGAAUUCCUGGUGUAGCGGUGAAAUGCGCAGAUAUCAGGAGGAACACCGGUGGCGAAAGCGGCGCACUGGACCAUAACUGACGCUGAGGCGCGAAAGCUAGGGGAGCAAACAGG
rnacentral:rRNA from 1 species